CUAACUCUUUCUCUCUAUCUUUGGUUCUCUCUAGAGCCUUCUCAUAUCUCCUCCUCUCUGAUGGACCCUGUUCACCUUCUCUAGUCACUUCCCUCGCCGGAAACUUUGGACUCUCGUCAUCUCCUGCCCUCUGCUUCACCCCACACCAGUCUAACACUACCCUAAGGUCCUCAGGUGAACUCAGAGUGGUUCAAAUCUUAUCCAUGGUCUUUCACGCCAUUUUCCA
rnacentral:lncRNA from 1 species